rnacentral:rRNA from 1 species
UGGGGAAUAUUGGACAAUGGGCGCAAGCCUGAUCCAGCCAUGCCGCGUGAGUGAUGAAGGCCCUAGGGUUGUAAAGCUCUUUCACCGGUGAAGAUAAUGACGGUAACCGGAGAAGAAGCCCCGGCUAACUUCGUGCCAGCAGCCGCGGUAAUACGAAGGGGGCUAGCGUUGUUCGGAUUUACUGGGCGUAAAGCGCACGUAGGCGGACUAUUAAGUCAGGGGUGAAAUCCCGGGGCUCAACCCCGGAACUGCCUUUGAUAAUGGUAGUCUUGAGUUCGAGAGAGGUGAGUGGAAUUCCGAGUGUAGAGGUGAAAUUCGUAGAUAUUCGGAGGAACACCAGUGGCGAAGGCGGCUCAAUGGCCCGAUACUGAAGCUGAGGUGCGAAAGCGUGGGGAGCAAACAGG